CAGCAGCCACGGUAAUACGUAGGUGGCAAGCGUUGUCCGGAAUUAUUGGGCUUAAAGGGCUCGCAGGCGGUUUCUUAAGUCUGAUGUGAAAGCCCCCGGCUCAACCGGGGAGGGUCAUUGGAAACUGGGAAACUUGAGUGCAGAAGAGGAGAGUGGAAUUCCACGUGUAGCGGUGAAAUGCGUAGAGAUGUGGAGGAACACCAGUGGCGAAGGCGACUCUCUGGUCCGUAACUGACGCUGAGGAGCGAAAGCUAGGGGAGCAAAUGGGAUUAGAUACCCCCGUAGUCCCUGUCUCUUAUAC
rnacentral:rRNA from 1 species